GGCUCAGCGGUCUGAUUAUCCAUUUUGAAUAGAGACUCUAUCUAGAAGGGAAUAGUCCUCCCAUCGGAGCUCAGUGGAGAGCUGCUUUUCAGCUCAUUUGUCUCAUACCGUUUGCUUCUUGCUGCAGCUGUGCCAACAACAUUAACCACACUGCCACCACAGGUGGAAAUCACCUCUGAUGGACUGGAUUUUUUUUACUGCUGUGGUCAAAGAAUGAGACAUUGAAAUAAAUGUGUGCAUUGGAGAAUUCUAUAAGUACAGAUCCACUGCAAUACGCUUAUUCUGCAGUCACUGACAUAGCUCCUUGCCAAGUGUUGCCAUCAAAAUGGACUUGCAAUAGAUGCUGGCAACCAUGACGGUGUAUUUUACAAUCUCUUCAAAUGCUGUGGUAUUAAUUACUUUGGUAUUUUCUCUCAGAUCAGCCUCAUCAAAAUGCAAAGCAUUGAAAU
rnacentral:lncRNA from 1 species